rnacentral:rRNA from 1 species
GAUGAACGCUGGCGGCGUGCCUAAUACAUGCAAGUCGAGCGAACAGACGAGGAGCUUGCUCCUCUGACGUUAGCGGCGGACGGGUGAGUAACACGUGGAUAACCUCCCUAUAAGACUGGGAUAACUUCGGGAAACCGGAGCUAAUACCGGAUAAUAUAUUGAACCGCAUGGUUCAAUAGUGAAAGACGGUUUUGCUGUCACUUAUAGAUGGAUCCGCGCCGCAUUAGCUAGUUGGUAAGGUAACGGCUUACCAAGGCAACGAUGCGUAGCCGACCUGAGAGGGUGAUCGGCCACACUGGAGCUGAGACACGGUCCAGACGCCUGCGGGAGGCAGCAGUAGGGAAUCUUCCGCAGUGGGCGAAAGCCUGGCGGAGCAGCGCCGCGUGAGUGGUGAAGGUCUUCGGAGCGUAAAACUCUGUUAUUAGGGGAGAACAAAUGUGUAAGUAACUAUGCACGUCUUGACGGUACCGAAUCAGAAAGCCACGGCUAACUACGUG